AAACCCCUUAACGAGGAUCAAUUAGAGGGCAAGUCUGGUGCCAGCAGCCGCGGUAAUUCCAGCUCUAAUAGCAUAUAUUAAAGUUGUUGCAGUUAAAAAGCUCGUAGUCGGAUUUUGGGCGCGUGUGAACUGUCAGCCUCUGGUUGGACGGUGCGCGCGUGCCUUUCUGCUUGGGAGCCCCAUGGUGGUUAAUUCUGUCGUGGUGGGUCACAGGCCGUUUACUUUGAAAAAAUUAGAGUGUUCAAAGCAGGCUGUUGCUUGAAUAGAUUAGCAUGGAAUAAUGGAAUAGGACCUUGGUGCUAUUUCGUUGGUUAUGGGACUGGGGUAAUGAUUAAUAGGGACAGUUGGGGCCGUUCAUAUUUCGUUGUCAGAGGUGAAAUUCUUGGAUUUACGAACGAUGAACUUGUGCGAAAGCAUUCGGCAAGGAUGUUUUCAUUGAUCAAGAACGAAAGUUAGGGGAUCGAAGACGAUCAGAUACCGUCGUAGUCUUAACCAUAAACUAUGCCAACUAGGGAUCAUUGAGUGUCAAUUUACGACCUCAUUGGCACCUUGUGAGAAAUCAAAGUUUUUGGGUUCCGGGGGGAGUAUGGUCGCAAGGCUGAAACUUAAAGGAAUUGACGGAAGGGCACCACCAGGAGUGGAGCCUGCGGCUUAAUUUGACCCAACACGGGGAAACUUACCAGGUCCAGACAUAGUCAGGAUGGACAGAUUGAAAGCUCUUUCUUGAUUCUAUGGGUGGUGGUGCAUGGCCGUUCUUAGUUGGUGGAGUGAUUUGUCUGGUUAAUUCCGUUAACGAACGAGACCUCAGCCUGCUAACUAGCGAUGCCCAUUUUUUAAUGGGUAGCCCGCUUCUUAGAGGGACUAUUCGUGUUCAACGAAUGGAAGUUUGAGGCAAUAACAGGUCUGUGAUGCCCUUAGAUGUCCUGGGCCGCACGCGCGCUACACUGAUGGAUGCAACGAGCUCUACCCUUGACCGAAAGGCCCGGGUAAACUUGUCAAAAUCCAUCGUGAUGGGGAUAGAUUAUUGCAAUUCUUGAUCUUCAACGAGGAAUUCCUAGUAAGCGCGAGUCAUCAGCUCGCGUUGAUUACGUCCCUGCCCUUUGUACUCACCGCCCGUCGCUCCUACCGAUUGAAUGGUCCGGCGAAAUCUUCAGAUUGCUGGCGAGGCUAACCCCUCGCUGUGAGAAGUUGAU
rnacentral:rRNA from 1 species